rnacentral:lncRNA from 1 species
UAUCUAAUUAAUAAAUUUUUAAUUUAAAUAUAAUAUUAAAAAAUAUACAAUAAUUUAGAAACCAAAUGGAACAUCAUCCUUUUUUGUUAUUAUCACUUUCGAGUUUGACAAAAGAAAAGAUUAUUUUGCCAUGGCGGGCCUGGCUGCCUGCCCGAAGGUCCCCACGAGGAUAUCAUUGAGAGAGAAGGUUGUCAAUAUCACGAUAAAAAAUCGAGGUCCCUACGUCUUUUUUGGCAACCCUAAAUCUAUCCCUACCCCCUCCUCCGCUAAAGACCUUAGCCUUCGCCAGUUUCUCACCGGUGGUGGGCGUUGAGAUUUUGGUUAAUUACAUCACCGAUUUUGUAAGCAUCCUUCUCCAAAGUCAGAACAUCCAUCUGAUCUCUCUUUGAGUUUGUGAUGAGACUGUAUAGCUUGCGAGCCAUCCUGAAUGGACACCGUGAUGUUGAUAUUCAGCAUCAAGGCAGUUUUGUUACGCAAUUGUUAACCUCUCUAAGUGUGAAUUCUUUGACAAAAAUUGACCGCAUGGAUUUGUUUGCUUUCAUAAAAUCGAAAGAUAAUUUGAGUUUGGAUUAGUAUUCUCUGCCCAACACCUUCGACCCCCUAACUUCAGCUGGAUUCUAGGCCUUGUAUGCCUAAGUUUCCUAACAAUGCAGCUAAUAUGUAGCCUAUGGGUCAAAUUCAAGCCUUUGUUUUCUCACCCUUCCCUAUCAAGAAAAAUCCAAUAUUAGACUAAGAAAUCAUGAUUUCUCUUGAAGGAAAGAGUGAU